rfam:Struthio camelus australis contig42188, whole genome shotgun sequence.
UGAUGACGCUUUCUCCGGAAUCUCUGCAGGCUGUGAUGACUGUACUUGAACCCUUUUCUGGCUGAUGACCAAAGCGGCUCCCUUCAGU